UUUGAUGGCAAGCUCUGACAAAUAAGAAGAUCAAAUACCAAUGAACAAUGUAUCCACUCCACCAGUAUUUUUUUUAUUCUAUGCAAUAUCUAUCAAAGAACGGCUAUACAGCGCGGGUUGAUUGCUAGUAAACAUAGUUUAUCAUUAGAAUUAUAUUAUCAUAUUCUCCUUAUACUUGUUCUUACAAGAGAAAAUAAUAAUUAAUAUCAUAAUAUUAUAUGAUGAUAUAUAUUAUACAUAGUUAUAAUAUAACAAUAUAAUACAAUUUUAAAAUAAAAAUAUAUUAUUACCAUAAUAUGAUAAUAAUUAUUAUAAUAUCUUUUACUAUAAGGUAAUAUCUAAUAUGAUAUUAUAAUAUAUAUUAUUAUAUAUUAUAAU
rnacentral:lncRNA from 1 species